UGCCUGGCCAUCUGUGGGGAAGAAAUCAGAACAGACAGAACAGUCUGGGAUAGGGGAGGAGAGAAGGAGCCUCAUUAUCUGCUGAUCAAAGGGCAGAGGUAGAGAAAGAGCAGUGAAAACAUCUCAGAGUGGAGAAGAAAGGGCUGCUGGGAGGACUCCGUGUGUGUCUUGCCUUUGGGGAGGGCAGAGUUACCCUGACAACCCCACGGGACAGCAGGGAUGAAGUCAGGGGAAAGGGGAUGUCAGGUUUGUUAAUAACAAGCCCUCAACACUGAAGCCACAUCUGAGUGAGGUGGAGAGAAGGCAUGUCCUGGGAUGAGGUGGAAACAGCAUGCCCUAAGCCCUGGACACUGGCUUCGAAAUUCCUGGGCUCAUCUUCUUGGCCCCUCGGGGGCCUAAUCCCGAAACACUGUGACAAAUCGGCUCUAAACUCCAAGGCAUUCCAGCCAAAUCUAAUCCACACGGAAUGUCUGCUGUGCAGCUGAGCCACAGCACACGAGGUUUGGGGAUUUAAUGACUGGUGUCACGAGGCCCCAUCAUGUGUGCUGCCCCUCUGAAGAGGCCCAACUCCAAAUGCUGGGGAUUUGAGGGAAAGAAAUAAAUUAGGAUCAGAGUCUUGGGCAGGUAAAGGGCUGUCAGGCCAAGAUUGUAAAUACACCCCCUGCAGGCUGGCCACAUUAAAAGGAGAAGACACUGCACAAGUUUUUCAGAAACUACAGAGGAUGACAGCCUCAAGUGUUUGGAGCAGGAAGAAGGAUGACUUUGUUCUACUGUGGUCUGUCCAUAUUUCACGGCCAUAUUUACCAUGAGGCCAGUGUCUCUGGUUCUCAGAAUGCCUGGCUGCACCCCCUCCCUCCCCGUGCUGGUCCAGCCUCAGUGCACCCGGCAGCCUCUUCCGCACCACUCAAUAUCUGACUGGGCGGCUGUCCCAGGCUCUCAAGCACAGAGAAACACAGCGAAGCUGAAGUUGAAGAAGUAGCUACAGUUUCCGGGCCUCAAACAAUGGCAAUUAAAAACAAAAAAACUUUUUAUUUGAAAAUAAUUAUAGAUUCACAGGAAGUGGCAAAAACAGUGCAGACUGGCCCCGUGUACCCUUUGCCUAGUUUCCCCCGACGUUUACAUCUUACGUCACGAAAGUACAACAUCAAAACCAGGAAACUGACGUUGGGACAAUCCGCAGACCUUAUUCAGAUUUCAGCAAUGGCGUUUUAGUCACCCGAAAGGGCUCUCAAACACGAUAUGACCAGGAAUCCCAGCUGUGCUCUCCAGAAGGAUCCGCCACGCUUGCCAAUCCACACCACGGCGGUUCCGAAAGCUGCCUCCCCUCUGCCAUCCAUUCCUAAGGCAAGUGGGAAGAAACGUCACCUCCCGCUCCACAAUUUCUCAGGGAAGCCGAGGAGGCCAGCGUGACGGGGGAGCAGAGUGGACAUCCCAGGACACAGCUGCGCCUGCCUGCUCUUUCCCUGUGCUCUGGCGGCCUGUCCUGGGCCUUACACCAACGCGAUGAACAGGGGAAACGGGGUGCUGAGCCUCUGCGUGAAAGGGGGCUUGUUUAGUCUCCUACCUGCCCGCUUAGAAAAUGUUCUCAAAGGUCAGGCACGGUGGUUCAUGCCUGUAAUCCCAGCACUUUGGGAGGCCAAGGCGGCUGGAUUGCUUGAGGCUAGGAGUUCGAGAGCAGCCUGGCCAACAUGGCAAAACCCCGUCUCUACUAAAAAAAACAAAAAAAUUAGCCGGGCACGGCGGCACAUGCCCGAGAUCCCAGCUAUUCGGGAGGCUGAGACACGAGAAUCGCUUGAACCCGGGAGAUGGAGGUUUUGGGGAAAAAAAGAAAAUGUCCUCAGAGUCUGCCCUGCCAUCACCUUGAGAGUGACCUGUGCCCCAGUUUUCUCAUCUGUGUAGUGGGGUUAAGAACAGAACCCACCUCGUAGGUUGAUUAGGCAGGUUCAGUAGGGUGAUAUUUGUAAAGAGCUUGGAACAUGCCAGGUGCAUAAUAACUGUACAUAUGUGUUUGAUAAAUUAAUCAAAAUAAAAUACAAUAUCUGUAAACGAUUUCACAGGAGAGCAAAGCUAGUGCUAAGGCUUUUCCAAAUAGCCUGGAGUGUGUGAGGCUUUUGGAAGCAUGGAGGUCUUUGACAGAGCAUUUAAUUUAUAUGGGGGACGCUUUUUGCGUGCAAAAUUGAUUUGAUAUGCAAAUAAACUGGAGUUGAUUGAAGAUUAUUAACCACAUGCUCUGAAUAGUGGUUGUGUUUGAGAAAAAAACAUCAGUCCUCCCUCCCAAGGGCCUUGUUAAUAAGUCAGGUUUUUCUCCCCGGUCCCUGCCCUCCUCCCUUGCUGGUUUCUCAACACCUAACCAUGCCAGGUCUAUAAAGUAAUUGCAGGUAUAUUUGCAAGGCCGGGGCUGGAUUUGAAUGUACG
rnacentral:lncRNA from 10 species